AGUGAACGCUGGCGGUAGGCCUAACACAUGCAAGUUGAACGGCAGCACAGAGGAGCUUGCUCCUUGGGUGGCGAGUGGCGGACGGGUGAGGAAUACAUCGGAAUCUACUCUGUCGUGGGGAUAACGUAGGGAAACUUACGCUAAUACCGCAUACGACCUACGGGUGAAAGCAGGGGACCUUCGGGCCUUGCGCGAUUGAAUGAGCCGAUGUCGGAUUAGCUAGUUGGCGGGGUAAAGGCCCACCAAGGCGACGAUCCGUAGCUGGUCUGAGAGGAUGAUCAGCCACACUGGAACUGAGACACGGUCCAGACUCCUACGGGAGGCAGCAGUGGGGAAUAUUGGACAAUGGGCGCAAGCCUGAUCCAGCCAUACCGCGUGGGUGAAGAAGGCCUUCGGGUUGUAAAGCCCUUUUGUUGGGAAAGAAAUCCAGCUGGCUAAUACCCGGUUGGGAUGACGGUACCCAAAGAAUAAGCACCGGCUAACUUCGUGCCAGCCGCCGCCGUAA
rnacentral:rRNA from 1 species